AUGUUCAUUUCUUCUUUAUCUUUGCAGAUCAGUCUUCAAACUUGGAUUUGUCACGGAUCCCUCUACUGGGUCCAGACGCCUCGCAAAGUUACAUACAAGGAGCUGUUUGUAAGUGACGGGACUGAGUACCAAGGGGCAAAGGAAGUCGGAGCUCACGAGAGCAGCGGAUCUGGGGAGCACCCAGCACCUCUGGCACCUGAAGAGGAAAGCCGCUGUGCGGAGGGCCUCUCGUAAGACUCAGACCUCGAGGAGACUGCGUGGCUCUGCCGCGUUGGCUGGCACAGAAGUUCACGGAGCUGCCACGCAGGAAGCACCGCGCGAGGGCACUGAGGAAAGUCGCCAGGAAACUUCCUGGGAGGCGUUCUGCCACGCUCAGGGCCCCAGCUGAAGUUUUUGCUGGAGAGCCCCUGAAACCCAAAGGGAAGCUGUCUACCUAGCACCUGUCGGAGUCAUGGGAACAGUACGUGGGAUGCUGGUGCAAACUGGCCAGAAGCUGCGCACCCGUGCUACCGUGAGUCAGUGGGACAAAGCACCGCUGGAUGUCCCGGGCACAUAGCCAACCACCAAGGGCCACACACAAAAGCCAAGGCAUAGUCCCAGCCUCCCAGAAAGGCGCUUCCCUCCUGCGGUGUCCCUGCAGCGCCCUCUGCUGGCACAAGGACUAAGGUGCCAAAGGUACCACAGAGUUGGCCAAAGAAGGAGAAAUGAACGAUUUGAUACUAAAACGGCUAAUCCAGCUUUUUAUGUUUACCUUGUUUAUCUUUUUCUGUCCACUUAUAUUUAUCCAUUUCUUUUAGCAUAAGUCUUUCAGUUGCUUUGGUUCUUGGCUUUUUUGUUUAUAUAUUUUGUCACUUUCUGGGUUUUUUAAAAAUAUUUAUUUUACCUAUUUGAAAGGCAGAAUUAGAAGGGUGCAGAGAGAGAGAGAUCUUCCAUCUGUUGGUUCACUCCCCAGAUGGCCAAAACACAGCUGGGGCUGGACCAAGAUGAAGCCAGGAGCCUGGGACCCCAUCCGGGUCUCCCACCUGGUCAUAGAGGCCCAGGUACCCAGGCUAUCAUCUUCUGCCUUCCCAGGCACAGUAGCAGAGAACUGUGUUGAAAGCAGAGUAGCCAAGACUCAAACUGGUGCUCUGGCCCGUGAUGGCAGCAUCAUGGGCAGCGACUUGAAGCCAUGGCACCAUAUGCUAACCCCCAGUUUCUGAUUUUAAUUGAAAUGUUUAGUCCAUUCAUAUUUGCAAUUAUUCAUGUGGCUGGUUUCAGGUCUGUCAGUUUACUCUUUGUCUAACAUUUACUCUUCUGUGUUUGCCUCUUUCUUUCUUUAUAGAUUUAUUUAUACCUGCGGAUUUGGGGAUUUUUUUAAAAAACAUCUUUUAGUAUUUCUUUUGUAUUUUGUCUUCUGCCUUUUCAGUUAUUUCUCUUUUCAUUGUUUCCUUUCUCUUCCUGUGAAUGUUCUAGGAUUAUAAUUUACCUCCUUAAUUUUGUCUUCUACUUGGAGUGAAUAUUGUAACACUUGUCAUAAAAUUUGGAAAACCUGUGACCCUGUGUGUUUAUAUGAAAAUAAAAACCUGAUACUUACAUAUGUCCCUAGGUAU
ensembl:lncRNA